rnacentral:rRNA from 1 species
GAUGAACGCUGGCGGCGUGCCUAACACAUGCAAGUCGAACGGAGAUUACGGACGGAAGUUUUCGGAUGGAAGACUGUAAUUCUUAGUGGCGGACGGGUGAGUAACGCGUGGGCAACCUGCCCUAUACAGGGGGAUAGCAGCUGGAAACGGCUGGUAAGACCGCAUAAGUCGGCGAGACCGCAUGGUUUUGCCGGGAAAUGAGCAAUCAGGUAUAGGAUGGGCCCGCGUCCGAUUAGCCAGUUGGCAGGGUAAAAGCCUACCAAAGCAACGAUCGGUAGCCGGACUGAGAGGUCGGACGGCCACAUUGGGACUGAGACAUGGCCCAAACUCCUACGGGAGGCAGCAGUGGGGGAUAUUGCACAAUGGAGGAAACUCUGAUGCAGCGACGCCGCGUGAGUGAAGAAGUAUUUCGGUAUGUAAAGCUCUAUCAGCAGGGAAGAUGAUGACGGUACCUGACUAAGAAGCCCCGGCUAACUACGUG